CACGUAGGGGGCGAGCGUUGUCCGGAUUUAUUGGGCGUAAAGAGCUCGUAGGCGGCUCGGUAAGUCGGGUGUGAAACCUCCAGGCUCAACCUGGAGACGCCACCUGAUACUGCCGUGGCUAGAGUCCGGUAGGGGAGCGUGGAACUCCUGGUGUAGCGGUGAAAUGCGCAGAUAUCAGGAAGAACACCAGCGGCGAAGGCGGCGCUCUGGGCCGGAACUGACGCUGAGGA
rnacentral:rRNA from 1 species